UAUAUCAAUGGUAAUGCAGAAUGAUAAUUCAGAAUAAGAGGUCGCCAAGACUAUGAGGUCGCCAAGCUAAAAUUGAGGUCGCCAAGACUAUGAGGUCGCCAAGCUACAAUUGAGGUCGCCAAGACUAUGAGGUCGCCAAGCUACAAUUGAGGUCGCCAAGA